rnacentral:sRNA from 1 species
GGUUUGUACAUGGCCUCAGAGCGGCGGGCUUCAAGAGUGGUGAUCGAGGUGGAUUCAGAGCUGGUUGUCGGGUUACUUACGACGGGGAUUAGUGAAGCUAAUCCGCUGUCCUUCCUGGUGCGUUUGUGCCAUGGCUUCAUAUUAAGGGACUGGAUAGUUCGUAUUGUUCAUGUUUAUAGGGAGGCUAAUCGUCUUGCGGACGGAUUGGCGAACUAUGUCUUUUCUUUACCUUUAGGUUUUCAUUCUUUUGAGUGUGUUCCCGAGCAUGUUCGGGAUAUCCUUUUAGAAGAUACCGGUGGAACAUGUUUUCCACGUCAGGUGCGUUUGUACUAUGCUUUAAUUUUGGUUUAAUAAAGUAGGGGAGACAAUCCCACCAAAAAAAAA